UACAGAGGGGGCAAGCGUUAUUCGGAAUUAUUGGGCGUAAAGGGCGCGUAGGCGGCUUGGCAAGUCGGGGGUGAAAGCCCGAGGCUCAACCUCGGAACUGCCUUCGAUACUGCGGGUCUCGAGUCCGGGAGAGGUGAGUGGAAUUCCUAGUGUAGAGGUGAAAUUCGUAGAUAUUAGGAAGAACACCAGUGGCGAAGGCGGCUCACUGGCCCGGUACUGACGCUGAGGCGCGAAAGCGUGGGGAGCAAACAGG
rnacentral:rRNA from 1 species